GUGAAAGUGGCACCCAUCACAUCCACUCGCAUUUCAUUGGCUUGAACCUAGUCACGUGGUCACACCUAGUUGCAAAGGAGGCUGGGAAAUGUAGUUUCCAGCUAGGCAGCUCUGUGUCCUGCACAGUUUCAGGAGAUUCUAUGACCAAAAGGAAGAAGAGAAAAGUUGAGUGAUGGGGGACCAUUCACAGCCUUGACCCACAGUCUCCAAGCCUAGAGUUCUAGCCAGCUCUUCUCUUCCUCCUCCAAGCCAUUGGUCACCCAUUGUCCAUCCAGAAGGAUCAUCCUAGAGCGCGAAUAUGAUCACGUUGCUCCUGUGCUGAAGAUUCUUCUAUGGCUCCCCAGUGACUUCUGGAAUCAUAAAGUCAGUCAACAAAUACUUGUUGGGUCCUGUUGUGUGACAAACGGUGUGCUAGGAAAUGAGACUUUACUGAUAUGAAAGGUCUUAGGCCCUGACAAGGAAAAUGAGUGAUGAAUUAUGCAGGCAGCGAGCUCCAAUCUGACUUCUGUGAUGUGUGCGGCUAUCAUUGCACAAACUAUUUCGUCCCCCGGAUCCAGGAAAUGUGGUUUUACACUUGCUCAGACGUCUUUACAAAAGGGUGACAGCAGAUUUCAUAAGUAGAGAGAAACAAGAAAACUGGACUGUUUUUCCAGAAACAGCGUGAGCUGGGAUGCCCGCCUCCUCCUGGCCCCUCCGAGUGUGGACUCAGCUCCCUCACCCAUGUUGGGCUGGAGGCCAUGGUGUCAGCCCCAACCGAGAAAUCAGGUCUGGUUCCUUCCCACAACGAUGGCCAUUCAUCAGGCGUGACACUCAGUGACUCAGGGGACAGGAAAUGGGAUGUGGCAUCUCCUGUCGGAGAUUCCGAGAGUCGGAGUCCAUCUGCAGCAUGGGCAUCCCCGAGUAAGAUGAGAUGGAAUUCAUUUAUUCAGUGCUUCCUUCCACUAGUAUUUAUUAAAUGCCUAUUUUUUUUGACAGUCACUUAUCGAGACCUUGGGGAUACCUCAAUGAUCAAGUCAGACACAGCCCAGCUUUUGCGGGGUAUAUGUAUUUGUACAGGAGACAGAGAACAGAAUAAACCAACUAGGUGAUUCCAGCUGGUUUGGUGAGUGCUGAAAAGAAAAUAGAACGAUGCAGAGUGAUGAUGGGGGAUGGGAUAGUGACACUUCUUUAGAGGUGGGGGCAGGAAGGCUUAUCUGUGGAGGUGACGUCUGAGCUGACAUGCCGGUGAGUGGAGGGGAAAGCAAGUUCCAGGCAGAGAAAAGAUUCAGUGCAAAGACCCCAAGACGGGACUACAAAUGGGGUAUUCCCUGGACAGAAAGAUGAGCCAGGUGACUAGAGCAUAUUGAGUAAGGAGGUUUUUCUGGGUAAAUCUUACCAAAAUUGAAGCCCAGCCAUUAGACCCCAGGUCUUUGCUCAGUGUUUGAACAAAGCAUUUUAUGUUGCUACUCAGGAGGCAUUGAAUGUCACAGCCAGAAGAACUUUAGAGGUCAUUCAUUUAAGCAGUGAAACUGACCACACAGAGAUUUCGCUGGGCUGUCGAAAGCCUGGAGAUACUGACUUACUGAGGCAUUGGAAUUGACAGUGCCUAACAGCACAGAGCUCUGUGGUUUAUAAAUCACUUCCGUACCUAUGAUUUCAGUAAACCCUCUCCCUGACCAAUGAGGUAGGCCUCUUCACUCCCAUUUUACCUACGAGAAAACUGAGUUCCAGUGAGAUACAGAAGCAUACGCCAGUGCAGCUAGUAAAGAGGCAAUGCUGGAACUAGGACCCAAUCAUCCUGCCUCUAUGCUCCCUCUGUUUCAAGGUCCCCAAAUCUCUGAGCCCUGUCAUAGAAUGGAGAAAGUUCCAUGUUGGAAAUAACAACAGCAGGAUUUCAGCCCCAGCUCUGUGCCUCUUGGGCUGUGUGACCUAGGCCAGGUUCUUUCCCACUUUCAAGCACUUUCACCCUCUGAAUUGAUAAUGACGACUGCCUUAUUACGUUGAAGAGACCUUGUUGAGACUACGGCUGCACACAAGCAUGAGGAUUUCACAGCUGAGAGCAAAGUAGGGUAGACUUGAGUUCAGGUCUCAACUCUUCCCCUUACCUGCUGGAUGAC
ensembl:lncRNA